rnacentral:rRNA from 1 species
GCAGUGGGGAAUAUUGGACAAUGGGCGAAAGCCUGAUCCAGCCAUGCCGCGUGUGUGAAGAAGGUCUUCGGAUUGUAAAGCACUUUAAGUUGGGAGGAAGGGUUGUAGAUUAAUACUCUGCAAUUUUGACGUUACCGACAGAAUAAGCACCGGCUAACUCUGUGCCAGCAGCCGCGGUAAUACAGAGGGUGCAAGCGUUAAUCGGAAUUACUGGGCGUAAAGCGCGCGUAGGUGGUUUGUUAAGUUGGAUGUGAAAUCCCCGGGCUCAACCUGGGAACUGCAUUCAAAACUGACUGACUAGAGUAUGGUAGAGGGUGGUGGAAUUUCCUGUGUAGCGGUGAAAUGCGUAGAUAUAGGAAGGAACACCAGUGGCGAAGGCGACCACCUGGACUAAUACUGACACUGAGGKCG